AUGAACGCUGGCGGCGUGCCUAAUACAUGCAAGUCGAGCGAACAGACGAGGAGCUUGCUCCUCUGACGUUAGCGGCGGACGGGUGAGUAACACGUGGAUAACCUACCUAUAAGACUGGGAUAACUUCGGGAAACCGGGGCUAAUACCGGAUAAUAUAUUGAACCGCCUGGUUCAAUAGUGAAAGACGGUUUUGCUGUCACUUAUAGAUGGAUCCGCGCCGCAUUAGCUAGUUGGUAAGGUAACGGCUUACCAAGGCAACGAUGCGUAGCCGACCUGAGAGGGUGAUCGGCCACACUGGAACUGAGACACGGUCCAGACUCCUACGGGAGGCAGCAGUAGGGAAUCUUCCGCAAUGGGCGAAAGCCUGACGGAGCAACGCCGCGUGAGUGAUGAAGGUCUUCGGAUCGUAAAACUCUGUUAUUAGGGAAGAACAAAUGUGUAAGUAACUAUGCACGUCUUGACGGUACCUAAUCAGAAAGCCACGGCUAACUACGUG
rnacentral:rRNA from 1 species